CGCAUCUGUGCAUGCAGCAUAUCAAUAAGCGGAGGAAAAGGAAAUCUGGCACAAACAUGAAAAAGGUCCCCAAAGCAAGCACAUUUGGGCACCGGAGAUGCACUAUCUUUUCGGCAAGUGGUACAUCUACUAUGCGGGUUCUGAUGUGGAUGAUAUCUGGGCUUUAAGGCCUUAUGUUUUGGAGUGUACGGGAGAGGAUCCCAUGACUGACCCCUGGAUUGAAAAGGGCAUGAUUACCUACGCUUAGGAUGUUGACGCGCGUGUGUGCGUGAGUCUAUACAUGACUCUGCGCAUAUCAAUAAGCGGAGGAAAAGAAACUAACAAGGAUUCCCUUAGUAACGGCGAGUGAAGCGGGAAGAGCUCAAAUUUGAAAUCUUCAAGGUUUUACCUUGACGAAUUGUAGUUUAAAGAAGUGUUUUCUGUUGAAGUUUUGGUAAAAGUUCUUUGGAAUAGGACAUCAUAGAGGGUGAGAAUCCCGUAUUUGACCAUUAUUUUCAGCUGCGUGAUACACUUUCAAAGAGUCGGAUUGUUUGGGAAUGCAGUCCAAAAUGGGUGGUAAAUUUCAUCUAAAGCUAAAUAGUCGGCGAGAGACCGAUAGCGAACAAGUACCGUGAGGGAAAGAUGAAAAGAACUUUGAAAAGAGAGUUAAACAGUACGUGAAAUUGUCAAAAGGGAAGCGUUUGACACCAGUGUUGUUUUCUCGAAAAUCAAUUAAAAAGAGUUAGAUUUUGUUGUGUAUUGACCUUAACAGCUUGCAUUUCAAUUUUCUUGCUUUUUUUAAUGCACUUUUCGUUUAACAAGUCAACAUCAGUUUCUUUUGUUGUAAAAAGGUCAUUGGAAGGUGGCUUUCUUUUCGGAGAAAGUGUUUAUAACCUUUGACUCCUGCAAUCGGAGAGACUGAGGUCUGCAGCGUAGAUCCUUCGGGGUUAGAUACAUUUGUGCUAAGUUAUAGCUUUUUAUAGACAACUUGUUGACUAUGAUUAGUCUUGUAGCUUACUCGCUUAUGCUAUUUUACCUACGCUUAGGAUGUUGACGCGCGUGUGUGCGUG
rnacentral:rRNA from 1 species